rnacentral:lncRNA from 1 species
CCAACAUUCACCAUCUGAGGACAGUUUGCAGGGGAGCAGAUGAGACCAAGUUUCAGUGCCUCGGGUGAUGUGUACGGUUGCUAAUGAUCAUUACUAUUUACUGCGUGAUAGUGCCUGAAAUACAGUCGUGAAUCAGUGCUCAACAGGAUAACACAGGACAGAAAGAUGGCUCCUGUCCAGGAGGUGUCCAAAGCCAUGAGGAACGUGAGAGUUAGACACUUCACACCGAGCUCUCUCCAAAAUUUGGCCUUUAGAAAAAAGGAAAACUAUUCUAAAUCUGGCCCUGUGACCAGGAGAGGAGGAAUUCAUCUGAUCAGAAUUACCACCGAUUGCCCCGAGUUUGCAGUGAGGACGUACCCAGAAAUGAAGUCUCCAGCUUCCUGCUCCUCUGCAUCAGUUACUGUGUCAGAGCUUUGGCUUCAGAGGAUGCCCUGCAAGCCCCUGUCGGCUCCCUUGGCCGUACCUACACUACAUGGUUCAACUGCAACGGGGUUCAGCAGCACUUUCUCACCAGCUAAAGACAGCACCCUGCAGGUAAAUGCUGU